GACGUUAUAGUUUAAUGGUAGAAUUAUGUGCUACGAACGCAAAGGUAUAGGUUCGACCCCUAUUGGCGUCU